UUCUUUUUGGAUGGAGAUUGUGUUUCUCUUGAGCUGCUCGUGGUCAUCAGAAGAGCCUGCCAACCCCUCUAACUGCUGAGGCAACAAAUAAAGAAAACUCAGUGCUGGAGGGCCCCGCGACUAUCACUCAUAAACGUCCGCAUUUCAGAUCCCACUCUGUUUCUAAUUUGAUUCAAUUCCCUUUUGUUGCUUAAAAAUUCAAUUUGUUUAAUUGAGCUGUUUGACAGUAAAAUCUGAAUUCCAUGCAUUUUAACCAUUCAUAUUAAAUUUCCCUCCGCAUAGUACUUUUAUUAAUGCGCUUUAAAAGAGGUCACUUUAAUUUAAAUUUGGUGACCUUACAAGCUUAUAAAAAGAUCUAUAUGCUAUCCUUCUCCAACCGAAAUUAAAUUGAAUAAAUGGAAGAUAACGUUACAAUAGAUAUUUCCAACCGAGGGUUGGGGUUCUGCAGGAAGGAGAGCUGCACUGCAGUGCGAGCAUCGCUCGGCCUCUUUUCCAUGGGACGGCAGUGCUGGUGUGAGGAACUUCCUGCGAUGCAUCCAACCCCAUUCUGAUAGACCCCAUUACUGCAGCUGCAUCCCCAUGGGCCACUGCUCAAGAAGUGCCCUUUCCUUUGUGCCGCUCAUUGCUUUGUAUUUGUAAAGAGGGUUGCCUCGUUUCUGACAUUUAAAUAGCCGAGCAUCUUUUCCUUUAGGAUUAAUAAGAAACACUGGAACCGGAGCAAGACUUGAAGGUUUAGUAAACUUUAAUCUGUAAAAUUUAAUAGCAAUAUCCAAGUCAUUAUGAGUAGGUAGGAUGCCGUACGGCUUUACAAACACUUUUAAGCCGUGAGUUAUGUUACAAGAAUGGGUUUGCUGUGUAUCAUUAUGUCCAGGUAAAUGCCAGGAUGAUGACAUAAUUGGUAGUUGGGAGUAAAAUACAACCUCUGUAAAAUGUUACUAAGGUAAAUGUAGCGGGAUUGUAAUUCAUUAUACAUAAACAUGACUUGCAGUUAUUUAUCAUUUUAUGAAAUAUAGAAUAACCUGAGCUGGUAGUGCUUCGCUAUUUCUUCCUUACUUUAUUUGGAAUUGUAAUGACAGUCUCGUGGCGAGGCUCCCUCCUUUAUUUCCCUGUAAUGAUUUCCCCACGCUGCACCCUGAAUUCACGUGAGGUUGCCUCCUGCCGUACUCUCCGAUGGUCCUCUUGAUAUACAAAGUCCUAAAAACUAGCCUCAUUAAGAAUGAUAUCCUGCCAGCCUCAGACAGUGACAAAUUUAUGGCUUUGGAUUAAAGGUCAUAUGGGCAUUUCAGCCAUUAAAACAGUCCCAUUCCAUAAUACCUGAAACCUUAAGGAAAUACAUUUUUGCACACAGAUGCCUGUUAUGUUUCUGCUAAAGACAUACAGUAAUAGUUUGAAAGCAACAAAAGCCUAUUUUGUACCUGUUCAGCUUGCAAGUGUGUUAGCCCUAGGCUACUGUUUAACUUUUAACCCUCUUGUUCACACAGCGUACAUGCAUAAAGCUACAAUGUACCACAUAAUGAAGCAAAGCUAGCAACAUUUGUUUUAUACUGUUUGCCAUAGGACAGCUUCUGCCUGUUUUUUAAAAUCCGUUUGGAAAACAAAACAGAAAUGAAGGCGUUUUUCCAUGCAAUGAGUGAUUACGCUGCUUUUUGCGCGCAUUUAAUGGCAGAGCUGCUGUGUGCUCCGUGUACCAACAGGGCUUUCAGGUAAAAAGAAAUAAUUCAGCACAAAAGGAUUUUGAAGAAGAAUUUCUUU
ensembl:lncRNA